rnacentral:lncRNA from 1 species
CUGGAGCUACACCAGCAGCUCUGGGUUCUCAGGCAUUUGAUCUCAGACUGGAACUAAACCAUUGAUUCUACUGCGUCUCCAGCUGGCUGAGUCACCUUGCAGAUCUUGGGACUUAUUCGCCUCCAUAAUCACGAAAUGAAGAAGAAUAAGCAAUCUGCCAUCAGAGAGAAGCGUCGAUUGACAAGAAUGCAAAGACACAGUAGGUGUAUGAUGUAGAAUACGUCCCUUGCCCUCUCUUGGCCUCAAUUUCUUCACAUGUGGUGGGAAGUAAUUUAAAGAAAACGGCAUAGAAUUUGACUUUAUUAUAACCGGAUGUGCACUCCCUUGAAUAAGUCCAAAGUCCGCUGGUUGAAAAAUGAUGAUCCAGUAUUUUAUAGAUUCAACAAGAAGACAAUAAUGAGGAGUAAAGAGAGAGUGACAACUGAGAUGCUACAACAUGACAUGAUUCUUUCUAAUGGUGUUCUUCUAGUCAGACAAAAGACAAGGAUUUCUGGAGAAAUGCUUUAAAGUAUUUAUAGAAAAUCAAUAUGUAUAUGAUUGUCUAGACUUGACUACUCAUGUGAAAACAGGAAUUUUAAUACAUUUUGAUUUUGUAUUAAUAAAAUCCGUAUUUCCAUGGCUAAAUAUGCUAUUUUAAAAUGUUAAAGAUAUAAAAUCAGAAAAAUAAAUUCUUUCAACACCAC